rnacentral:rRNA from 1 species
GAUGAACGCUGGCGGCGUGCCUAAUACAUGCAAGUCGAGCGAACAGACGAGGAGCUUGCUCCUCUGACGUUAGCGGCGGACGGGUGAGUAACACGUGGAUAACCUACCUAUAAGACUGGGAUAACUUCGGGAAACCGGAGCUAAUACCGGAUAAUAUAUUGAACCGCAUGGUUCAAUAGUGAAAGACGGUUUUGCUGUCACUUAUAGAUGGAUCCGCGCCGCAUUAGCUAGUUGGUAAGGUAACGGCUUACCAAGGCAACGAUGCGUAGCCGACCUGAGAGGGUGAUGGGGCAGCCUGGAAGUGUACGACGGGAUGAGCGCCGACGGGAGGGAGCAAUGGGGAGUGUGUGAGAAAGGUCGAAAGCUCGACAAAUCAAGUUAUAGGGAAAGAUAAAGUGUGUACGAACCUAAACACGUGUUAACGGGGAAGAACCAAAAUGCAAGGAACCACGAAGGUAGAGACGGUACCAUAUUAGAAAGCCACGGCUAGCUAGGUG